rnacentral:rRNA from 1 species
AGAGUUUGAUCCUGGCUCAGGAUAAACGCUAGCGGCGUGCCUUAUGCAUGCAAGUCGAACGGUCCCGAUUUAUCGGGAUAGUGGCGAACGGGUGAGUAACGCGUGAGUAACCUGCCCUCAAGUAGGGGAUAACUCUGAGAAAUUGGAGCUAAUACCGUAUGUGGGGAUGGAGUUAGUGCUUCAUCACUAAAGCCUUAGGGCGCUUGAGGAUGGGCUUGCGUCCGAUUAGUUAGUUGGUAGGGUAAUGGCUUACCAAGGCGAUGAUCGGUAGCUGGUUUGAGAGGACGGUCAGCCACACUGGGAUUGAGAUACGGCCCAGACUCCUACGGGAGGCAGCAGCAAGGAAUAUUGUGCAAUGGGCGAAAGCCUGACACAGCGACGUCGCGUGGGGGAAGAAGGCUCUCGGGUUGUAAACCCCUUUUCUCAGGGAAGAAUAAUGACGGUACCUGAGGAAGAAGUCACGGCUAACUACGUGCCAGCAGCCGCGGUAAUACGUAGGUGGCGAGCGUUAUCCGGAUUUACUGGGUGUAAAGAGGGUGUAGGCGGUUCUUCAAGUCGGAUGUAAAAUCUCCCGGCUCAACUGGGAGGGAUCAUUCGAUACUGUUGGGCUAGAGUGCAGCAGGGGGAGAUGGAAUUCCCGGUGUAGUGGUGAAAUGCGUAGAUAUCGGGAGGAACACCAGUGGCGAAAGCGGUCUCCUGGGCUGUUACUGACGCUGAGACCCGAAAGCGUGGGGAGCGAACAGGAUUAGAUACCCUGGUAGUCCACGCAGUAAACGAUGGACACUAGGUAUGGGGGGUAUCGACCCCCUCCGCGCCGAAGUUAACGCUUUAAGUGUCCCGCCUGGGGAGUACGGUCGCAAGACUAAACUCAAAGGAAUUGACGGGGCCCCGCCCAAGCAGCGGAGCGUGUUGGUUUAAUUCGAUGCAACCCGAGAACCUUACCAAGGCUUGACAUGUCGAGUAGCGACCCGAAAGGUGAGCGACCUGUAAAUCAGGAGCCGUCCACAGGUGCUGCAUGCUGUCGUCAGCCUCGUGCCGUGAGGUGUUAGUUAGGUCCUGUACGAAGCGCCACCCCUGUGCCAGGUAAUUCUCCUGGCGAGACCUGCCCCUGCCAACGGGAGAAGUAGUAUGACGUCCAGUCGACCUGGCCCUCUAUGC